UACGAAGGGGGCUAGCGUUGCUCGGAAUUACUGGGCGUAAAGGGCGCGUAGGCGGAUAUCUAAGUCGGGGGUGAAAGCCCAGGGCUCAACCCUGGAAUUGCCUUCGAUACUGGAUAUCUUGAGUACGGGAGAGGUGAGUGGAACUCCGAGUGUAGAGGUGAAAUUCGUAGAUAUUCGGAAGAACACCAGUGGCGAAGGCGACUCACUGGCCCGGUACUGACGCUGAGGUGCGAAAGCGUGGGGAGCAAACAGG
rnacentral:rRNA from 1 species